rnacentral:rRNA from 1 species
AGAGCUUGAUCAUGGCUCAGAUUGAACGCUGGCGGCAGGCCUAACACAUGCAAGUCGAACGGUAACAGGAAGAAGCUUGCUUCUUUGCUGACGAGUGGCGGACGGGUGAGUAAUGUCUGGGAAACUGCCUGAUGGAGGGGGAUAACUACUGGAAACGGUAGCUAAUACCGCAUAACGUCGCAAGACCAAAGAGGGGGACCUUCGGGCCUCUUGCCAUCGGAUGUGCCCAGAUGGGAUUAGCUAGUAGGUGGGGUAACGGCUCACCUAGGCGACGAUCCCUAGCUGGUCUGAGAGGAUGACCAGCCACACUGGAACUGAGACACGGUCCAGACUCCUACGGGAGGCAGCAGUGGGGAAUAUUGCACAAUGGGCGCAAGCCUGAUGCAGCCAUGCCGCGUGUAUGAAGAAGGCCUUCGGGUUGUAAAGUACUUUCAGCGGGGAGGAAGGGAGUAAAGUUAAUACCUUUGCUCAUUGACGUUACCCGCAGAAGAAGCACCGGCUAACUCCGUGCCAGCAGCCGCGGUAAUACGGAGGGUGCAAGCGUUAAUCGGAAUUACUGGGCGUAAAGCGCACGCAGGCGGUUUGUUAAGUCAGAUGUGAAAUCCCCGGGCUCAACCUGGGAACUGCAUCUGAUACUGGCAAGCUUGAGUCUCGUAGAGGGGGGUAGAAUUCCAGGUGUAGCGGUGAAAUGCGUAGAGAUCUGGAGGAAUACCGGUGGCGAAGGCGGCCCCCUGGACGAAGACUGACGCUCAGGUGCGAAAGCGUGGGGAGCAAACAGGAUUAGAUACCCUGGUAGUCCACGCCGUAAACGAUGUCGACUUGGAGGUUGUGCCCUUGAGGCGUGGCUUCCGGAGCUAACGCGUUAAGUCGACCGCCUGGGGAGUACGGCCGCAAGGUUAAAACUCAAAUGAAUUGACGGGGGCCCGCACAAGCGGUGGAGCAUGUGGUUUAAUUCGAUGCAACGCGAAGAACCUUACCUGGUCUUGACAUCCACGGAAGUCUUCAGAGAUGAGAAUGUGCCUUCGGGAACCGUGAGACAGGUGCUGCAUGGCUGUCGUCAGCUCGUGUUGUGAAAUGUUGGGUUAAGUCCCGCAACGAGCGCAACCCUUAUCCUUUGUUGCCAGCGGUCCGGCCGGGAACUCAAAGGAGACUGCCAGUGAUAAACUGGAGGAAGGUGGGGAUGACAUCAAGUCAUCAUGGCCCUUACGACCAGGGCUACACACGUGCUACAAUGGCGCAUACAAAGAGAAGCGACCUCGCGAGAGCAAGCGGACCUCAUAAAGUGCGUCGUAGUCCGGAUUGGAGUCUGCAACUCGACUCCAUGAAGUCGGAAUCGCUAGUAAUCGUGGAUCAGAAUGCCACGGUGAAUACGUUCCCGGGCCUUGUACACACCGCCCGUCACACCAUGGGAGUGGGUUGCAAAAGAAGUAGGUAGCUUAACCUUCGGGAGGGCGCUUACCACUUUGUGAUUCAUGACUGGGGUGAAGUCGUAACAAGGUAACCGUAGGGGAACCUGCGGUUG